CGGAGGGUGCAAGCGUUAUCCGGAUUCACUGGGUUUAAAGGGAGCGUAGGUGGCUUUGUAAGUCAGUGGUGAAAUAUUGCGGCUCAACCGCAAAACUGCCAUUGAUACUGCUUAGCUUGAAUCACGUCGAGGUGGAUGGAAUAAUACAUGUAGCGGUGAAAUGCUUAGAUAUGUAUUAGAACACCGAUUGCGAAGGCAGUUCACUAGGCGUGUAUUGACACUGAGGCUCGAAAGCGUGGGGAUCAAACAGGAUUAGAUACCCUGGUAGUCCACGCCCUAAACGAUGUAAACUCGACAUUAGCGAUAUACAGUUAGUGUCCAAGCGAAAGCGUUAAGUUUACCACCUGGGAAGUACGACCGCAAGGUUG
rnacentral:rRNA from 1 species